UAACCAAGAAAUGGGCAUCUU
rnacentral:piRNA from 1 species